rnacentral:rRNA from 1 species
GUGUCAGCAGCCGCGGUAAUACGUAGGGGGCGAGCGUUGUCCGGAAUUAUUGGGCGUAAAGGGUGCGUAGGCGGCUGAACAAGUCAGAUGUGAAAGGUUAAGGCUUAACUUUAAUAAGCAUAUGAAACUGUUCAGCUUGAGUUAAGGAGAGGGGAGUGGAAUUCCUAGUGUAGCGGUGAAAUGCGUAGAUAUUAGGAGGAAUACCAGUGGCGAAGGCGACUCUCUGGACUUAAACUGACGCUGAGGCACGAAAGCGUGGGGAGCAAACAGGAUUAGAUACCCUGGUAGUCCACGCCGUAAACGAUGAGUGCUAGGUGUUGGGUGUCAAAGCUCAGUGCCGCAGCUAACGCAAUAAGCACUCCGCCUGGGGAGUACGAUGGCAACAUUGAA